GGUCAAGUUAGUAAGGGUCCACGGUGGAUGCCUUGGGGCCAAGAGCCGAAGAAGGGCGUGGCAAGACUGCGAAAAGCCUCGGUCAGCUGUCUAGUGAGCUUAGCCGAGGAUUCCCGAAUUGGGAAACCUCUACCGGGUCAUACCGGUAGACCCGCUGUGAAGCGGGGGGUAAGUGGGUGAACUGAAACAUCUAAGUAACCUGAGGAAAAUAAAUCAACCGAGAUUCCCCUAGUAGUGGCGAACGAACGGGGAAGAGCCCAAACCGAUCGGGCUUAGUGGAAUGAGGUCCUAUGUCCGGUCGGGGUUGUAACACACGCCUGCUCCAACCUCAUAAAGUGAGCAGAGAGUCAGAAAAUCGUUCCUUAGCCAAAUGUUCCUGGAAUGGACAACCGUAGAAGGUGAUAGUCCUGUAGGCGAAAGGGAGCGGUCUCUCGGCGUGUUGUUGAGUACCACGGGACACGUGAAAUCUUGUGGGAAGCUGGGGGGACCACCCUCCAAGGCUAAAUACUCUUGGCCACCGAUAGUGAACCAGUACCGUGAGGGAAAGGUGAAAAGUACCCCAGAUGGGGAGUGAAAUAGACCUGAAACCGUGGACUUACAAGCCGUGGAAGGCUGUAUUCGUACAGCUAACUGCGUGCCUUUUGAAGAAUGAGCCGGCGAGUUAAUCUAUGCAGCUUGGUUAAGGAUCAUGAGGUCCGGAGCCGAAGCGAAAGCGAGUCCGAAUAGGGCGUGCCGCGGGCGGCGGCAAAUCCUGCGGAGGAAGACCGAGAUGACGCAAACCUUGUGCCAGAG
rnacentral:rRNA from 1 species